CAACAUAUUGUUAUCAGUCCAAACUACGGGCUGUAGAUCAUAGUAUGUUGAUCAUUAUGCUAAAUGCUAAAUAUACUAUAGAUCGUCGGCUUCUGUGACCUGUUCAGCGGAACUUGAAUAGUACCCACCGAAAGUAAUCUAUAAUACUUAAUCUUGGCCAUAAAUCUUGUUGCCUACAAUAUUAUUAUUUUAAUAUAACACAUUUACACCAACAAUAAUGAAAAACGUAGGCAAAAUGGAUUAUACUCUGUAGUAAGUACCUACAUUAAGUGUUCAAUGAGUCACUGUUAUAGGUGUGUCAACAUUUGGAUUCAAUGUUCCAUCAUUGUAUACGAAAAACGAUUUUAAGCGAAUACGACCUGUCAGAAUAUCAGCCUAAUCACUAAUGUUGCAGUAGAUUGAUACAAUUUGUACCGAAAAUAUUGCAUUUAUUUUAUUGUUAUUAUUUAAUUAUUAUUUAUAUCUUUUAUGUGUUUAUACUAUAUAACAUAUUAUAUUAACUUACAUAACUCAAAGUUCGAUAACAUCUUUCGCCACAUAAUAUCAAUAAAAUUGACACCGGUCGUUAUUUCCAAAAAGUCUAUGUGAAAACCGCGAAAAUAAAACAGUGAAAACACUAAUAGCGAAAAGUAAGAAAACCUAUACGUAUAUACUUACAGAUAAUCGGAGGAAUUUAACGUUUGAACACAUUAAGGAACUUCUGAUCAUCCAAUGCAAUAAGAUUGAAGAUGCAGAAUGUUAAAUGGCAACGAAGACGACAAAAUACUUUAUAAGCUUUUUUUAUACUUUUUUAAUACCAUAUUAAUUAAUAAAUAUUGUUACA